GAUGAAGAACGUAGCGAAACGCGAUAGGUAAUGUGAAUUGCAGAAUUCCGUGAAUCAUCGAAUCUUUGAACGCACAUUGCGCCUGCUGGUAUUCCGGUAGGCAUGCCUGUUCGAGCGUCAUUAAAAUCACUCAAGCUUAGGUUUACCUAUUGCUUGGUCUUGGAGAUGGAAGCCAAUUUAUUGGAAUCCUCUUCGAAAUUCAAUGGCGAAGACCCUUGCUCUCCCAAGUGUAGUAAUAACUUAUGUCACUGAAGGAAGCGAGAAAUCUUCUGCCGUAACCCCCAUAUUUUCUAUGAUUGACCUCGGAUCAGGUAGGGAUACCCGCUGAACUUAAGCAUAUCAAUAAGCGGAGGA
rnacentral:misc_RNA from 1 species